UUAGGUGGUUAUAGCAACGGGGUCCCACCUCUUCCCAUUCCGAACAGAGAAGUUAAGCCCGUUUACGCCGAUGGUACUGCAGUAAAAUGUGGGAGAGUAGGAAGCCGCCUCUU
rnacentral:rRNA from 1 species